UACGUAGGUGGCAAGCGUUGUCCGGAUUUACUGGGCGUAAAGGAUGCGUAGGCGGACAUUUAAGUCAGUUGUGAAAUACCCGAGCUUAACUUGGGUGCUGCAUUUGAAACUGGGUGUCUAGAGUGCAGGAGAGGUAAGUGGAAUUCCUAGUGUAGCGGUGAAAUGCGUAGAGAUUAGGAAGAACACCAGUGGCGAAGGCGACUUACUGGACUGUAACUGACGCUGAGGCAUGAAAGCGUGGGGAGCAAACAGG
rnacentral:rRNA from 1 species